AGUGCUUGCAGAGCGCGAGAUGCGUGACGAGCAUAAUGGAGCAUAGUAAACUUGGCACAUCAUUAGGGCACAUUUAGUGUACUACUUCACCGUACUGCUGAGUCAGAUGAGAAAGGACAUGUGUGAUAUAAACUAAAGAAAGAAGAAAUGGUCAUAAAAUACUUUUACGUAAAUCAUAAAAUAGCUUACAAUGAAUGAUGGAUUUUGUUUGCUAGCCCAAGCUGUCGACAGGCCAGCGUUCACUAUGCCUAAAUUAACUGUUGUUAUCUACACAACACCAAAUAACAAAGUAUUAUUAUAACUCGGCGAUGGAGGCUUUAGCCACAGACUUGACCAAUUUGCCAGGGAUUUCUGCUUGCGAUCUGCUAGAGGCACUGUGUCGACUGCAAAGCGCAACAGGGAAUGAGGCCAAUCCUUAAAAAAAACGGAGGAAAAUUAGGACAUCAGGAUACAGUUUGCUGCGGCGAAGCUGUUGCAUUAUGGGAUGUCCGUAAAGGUGCUGUAGAUUCAGCAGGACAAGACCCAUCGGACUGACUGGACCCACCAGAACUAUAACAGAACCUCAGAAGAACCAAAAUCCACUGUUUUAUGCACAUCGAAUAUCAAGAUGUACAUGUACUCAAAGAUGUAGCUGUGUCUGAGAUUGGAUGCUAACCAGGAGGUUUGUGCUUAAGGCUACUGAAUAAGGAAUGUCUGAGAUAUCCCAUCCAUCCUGCUGGUCGUGACCUUGAAAGGUUUGACCUGUCCUAAGCUACUUGUUUCUAUAAAUAA